AUGUAAUUCUAUCUCUUAAUUACACUACUACAGAAAAAGUUAUCAGUAACGGUCAAAAACGUACAUCAGUAACGGGCAGGCCGCCCGACACUAAGUUGAUGUCACUGAUGUGUUUAACAUCAGUGACGGGCGGCCAGCCCGUUACUGAUGCUAUAUAGCAUUAGUGGCGGGCGUCCCUCUUGACCGACACUGAUAACAUUUUGAAGAUUUUUUUAAAAAAGCAGGCCUGUGGCCUGCAAAUUUCACAAAUCAUAGAUUGCCAGGCCUGCAUAUUUUCAUCAUCGCCGACCAGAACAUAUCGCAAAUCACAGAAUAAGCAUCCCAGAUCAUGGAUUACAGCAGGAAAAAUCGCAAAAAAAUCACGAAAAAAAGUCGAAGCUCUCCAUAGCCUGAUCCAGCCGCAUCGCCCUCCAUGGCAGUAUGGCGGCAGAGGAGAGCGCCUCCCUCCAUGGCAGCCGCUCCUUGGUCAAGGGCAGGGAACGCCAGAUCCACGCGUCGAGGUGGGGGGAGGCCGGAUCCGGCGAUGUAGAGGCCGGGGAACGCCGAAUCCGUCCCUGGAACAAACACGGCCAAGAAAUCAAUCACACACAGAGAGAGAGACUUACCGGAGGGAGAGAGGGUACCGGCGGCCAGAAUCGGUGGCAGUGCGGCGCGGGUGGCGGCGGGGGAGGCCGGAUCCAGCCGGGUCGGCGGCGCGUGGAGGCGGAUUUGACGAUGGCUGGCAUCGACGGCGCGAAGCAGGAAGGAGGGCGCGAAGGGCGAAGGGCGCGAAGGGCAGAGGACUCGGCCGGAGUCAGUGGAGUCGGCCGGAGAAGGGCUAGAUCCAGAGAAGGGAGGAGAGAGUUUGGGGGAGAGGAUUGAGUUCGGUUGAGACUUGAGAGAUAUCGUGGGAGAGAGGGAGACUGAGUGGCGGCGGAAGGGAGGAGAG
rnacentral:lncRNA from 1 species